rnacentral:lncRNA from 1 species
GGCCAGGCUGGUCUCGAAUUCCUGACCUCAGGUGAUCCACCCACCUCAGCCUCCCAAAGAGCCGGGAUUACAGGCGUGAGCAACUGCACCCAGCCUUAUUUUUAUUCUGAUGGAGACCUCAUCCAGGUUUUGCCCGCUCAGUAUGAUGUUGGCUGAGGAUUUGUCAUGGAUGGCUCUUAUUAUUUUCAGGCAUAUUUCUCCAGUGCUUAGUUUGUUGAGAAUGUUUUUAUAAAUGAGUAUUAGAUUUUCUUGAAUGCCUUUUCUGCAUGUGAUAAUUGUUUUUUAAAAAUUAUCUUUACAUGGUGAAUCACAUUUAUUUACUUGUAUAUGAUGAAACAUCUUUGCAUUCAUACAAUGAAGUUUACAUGAUUGUGGCAAAAUAACUUUUUGCUUUGCUUAUGAACUCAACUUGCUAGUACUUCAUGAAUUUUUGUUUCAAUUUUCACCAAGAAUAGUGACCGGUAAUUUUCCUUUUUUGUUGUGUCUUCACUAGGUUUUACUACCAAGAUAAUAAUGUUUUCAAAUAAUUUAGGAAGGACUUCCACCUUGAUUUUUGGAAUACACUCAGUAGAAUUAAUACCAGGUUAUCUUUGUAUAUGUGAUAAAAUGUGGCUGUGAACUCAUCUUAUCCAGGGCUUUCUAUGGUUGGUAGCUUGUUUUAUUAGUAAUUCAAUCUUAUUAUAUACUUUAUACAUUGUUGCUCUGUUCAAGACUUCUGUUUCUUUCUGGUUCAAUGCUGAGAAGCUGGAUGUAUCCAGGAGUUUAUCUAUUUUCUCUAAAUUUUUUAGUUUGCAUGCAUAGAGAUGUGCAUAGUAGUCUCUGAGGAUGUUUACUAUUUAUGUGAAAUUAGUUGUGAUAUCACAACUCUAACAUUUAAAUAGAUGCAGAAUAAAAGCUUGACAAAAUUUGGCUGGGUGCAGUGGCUCACACCUGUAAUCCCAGCACUUUGGGAGGCCGAGGCGGGUGGAUCACGAGGUCAGGAGAUCGAGACCAUCCCGGCUAAAACGGUGAAACCCCGUCUCUACUAAAAAUACAAAAAAUUAGCCGGGCGUAGUGGCGGGCGCCUGUAGUCCCAGCUACUUGGGAGGCUGAGGCAGGAGAAUGGCGUGAACCCGGGAGGCGGAGCUUGCAGUGAGCCGAGAUCCCGC